rnacentral:tRNA from 1 species
GCUUUCAUAGCACCUGUUUAGUAAGCGGGAGGUCUUGAGUUCGACUCUGAAUGAAAGCA